GGGGGAUAAGCUUCAUUGUCAAGAGGGAAACAGCCCAUACUACCAGUUAAGGCCCCUAAAUAUAUACUAAGUGAUAAAGGAUGUAAUAGUACAUAGACAACCAGGAGGUUUGCCUAGAAGCAGCCACCCUUUAAAAAGUGCGUAAUAGCUUACUGGUCAAGUGCUUUUGCGCCGAAAAUGAAUGGGACUAAGUAUUUUGCCGAAACUGUAGGAUAAUAUCGGUAGAAGAGCGUUCUGUAUUGGUUUGAAGCAAUAGUGAAAACAGUUGUGGACUAAGCAGAAGUGAGAAUGUCGGCUUAAGUAACGAAAACAUUGGUGGAAAUCCAAUGCUCCGAAAACCUAAGGUUUCCUUCGCAAGGUUCGUCCACGAAGGGUUAGUCAGGUCCUAAAACAAGGUUAAGUAACGUAGUUGAUGGUUAACAGGUUAAUAUUCCUGUACCAUGUUUUAUUUGUUAAAAGUGACGAAGAAGGCUAUGUCAGCCAUAGAUUGGUUGUUUUGGUUUAAUCUUUCGAGAUGUUGAUGAGUAUAAAUAAAAAAUACUCUGAGUUAAGAAGAGAGUACGAGAAGCAUUACGGUGCUAAAAGUGAUUUAUGUCAUACUUCCAAGAAAAGCUUUAGUAACAUAUAAUAAAACAUGCCUGUACCUAAAACUGACACAGGUAGGUUAGUAGAGAAUACUAAGGAGCGCGAGAUAACUCUUUCUAAGGAACUCGGCAAAAUGACUCUGUAACUUCGGGAGAAAGAGUGCCUCCAAAAGAGGUCGCAGUAAUCAGACUCAAGCGACUGUUUACCAAAAACACAGGUCUCCGCUAAGUUGUAAAACUAUGUAUGGGGGCUGACGCCUGCCCAGUGCCGGAAGGUUAAAAAAAUUGGUUAGCGUAAGCGAAGCUGGUGAUUGAAGCCCUGGUGAACGGCGGCCGUAACUAUAACGGUCUUAAGGUAGCGAAAUUCCUUGUCGGGUAAGUUCCGACCCGCACGAAAGGCGUAACGAUUUGAGUACUGUCUCAGAAAGAGACUCGGUGAAAUAGAAUUGACUGUGAAGAUGCGGUCUACUCGCACUUGGACAGAAAGACCCUAUGAAGCUUUACUGUAACUUGAAAUUGGUUUUGGACUUUCUUUGCGCAGCAUAGGUGGGAGGCUAUGAACCUCUUUUUCGGAAGAUGGGGAGCCAAAAUAUGAGAUACCACUCUGAGAAAGUUAGGAAUCUAAUGACAUUAUUUUAUCAAGAUGUUUGACAGUUUCAGGCGGGCAGUUUUACUGGGGCGGUAGCCUCCUAAAAGGUAACGGAGGCGUACAAAGGUUUUCUCAGUCUGGACGGAAAUUAGUUGCAGAGUGUAAAGAUAUAAGAAAGCUUGACUGUGAGACUUACAAGUCAAACAGAGACUAAAGUCGGUCUUAGUGAUCCGACGGUGCUGUGUGGAAAGGCCGUCGCUUAACGGAUAAAAGUUACUCUAGGGAUAACAGGCUGAUCUCCCCCAAGAGUUCACAUCGACGGGGAGGUUUGGCACCUCGAUGUCGGCUCAUCGCAGCCUGGGGCGGUAGUACGUCCCAAGGGUUGGGCUGUUCGCCCAUUAAAGCGGUACGUGAGCUGGGUUCAGAACGUCGAGAGACAGUUCGGUCCAUAUCCGGUGUGAGCGUUAGAGUAUUGAAAGGAGCUUUCCUUAGUACGAGAGGACCGGGAAGGACACACCACUGAUGUACCAGUUUUUGUGCCAACAGAAAACGCUGGGUAGUCAAGUGUGGAGUGGAUAACUGCUGAAAGC
rnacentral:rRNA from 2 species